rnacentral:rRNA from 1 species
UGAGCAAUCUGCCCUUCUCUUUGGAAUAAGCGUUGGAAACGACGUCUAAUGCCGAAUACGACCUCCUUUCGCAUGAUCGGAGGUGGAAAGCUCCGGCGGAGAAGGAUGAGCUCGCGGCCUAUCAGCUAGUUGGUGUGGGUAACGCCCACCAAGGCGACGACGGGUAGCCGGCCUGAGGAGGGUCGACCGGCCACACGUGGGACUGAGACACGGCCCAGACCUCCGUACGGGAGCAGCAGG